GUGGGGAAUCUUCCGCAAUGGACGAAAGUCUGACGGAGCAACGCCGCGUGAGUGAAGAAGGUUUUCGGAUCGUAAAGCUCUUUCGUUAGGGACGAACGUGCUCUUUGUGAAUAAUGAGGAGUAAUGACGGUACCUAAAUAAGAAGCCACGGCUAACUACGUGCCAGCAGCCGCGGUAAUACGUAGGUGGCAAGCGUUGUCCGGAAUUAUUGGGCGUAAAGCGCGCGCAGGCGGGAUAUCAAGUCUGUCUUAAAAGUGCGAGGCUCAACCUCGUGAGGGGACAGAAACUGGUAUUCUUGAGUGUCGGAGAGGAAAGUGGAAUUCCAAGUGUAGCGGUGAAAUGCGUAGAGAUUUGGAAGAACACCAGUGGCGAAGGCGACUUUCUGGACGAAAACUGACGCUGAGGCGCGAAAGCCAGGGGAGCGAACGGGAUUAGAUACCCGGGUAGUCC
rnacentral:rRNA from 1 species